CAGCAGCAGCCGCGGGAAUACGUAGGUGGCAAGCGUUGUCCGGAAUUAUUGGGCGUAAAGGGCUCGCAGGCGGUUUCUUAAGUCUGAUGUGAAAGCCCCCGGCUCAACCGGGGAGGGUCAUUGGAAACUGGGAAACUUGAGUGCAGAAGAGGAGAGUGGAAUUCCACGUGUAGCGGUGAAAUGCGUAGAGAUGUGGAGGAACACCAGUGGCGAAGGCGGCUCUCUGGUCUGUAACUGACGCUGAGGAGCGAAAGCGUGGGGAGCGAACAGGAUUAGAUACCCGCGUAGUCCCUGUCUCUUAUAC
rnacentral:rRNA from 1 species